AACUCCCUCUGUCGGUCGAAGAAAACAGAGCACAGUGAGAAAGAGUCCAGUUUCUUCUACACACGAGAGUCCAGUUUCUUCUACACACGUCUUCUCCACAUCACCGACUUGCUUAUCUGAUCCCCGCCAGCAAUUAGCGCCCCAUGCCAUCGAAAUUUCUCCACCGUAAAUGAUGAGGCUGUCCAGUUUUCUUUUCUCCUUUCUUCCCCUGUUUUUCUGUUGCGUGAGCCAUGCUGGUGUGUGUGUGUGAUGUUGGCUUUUCUCUCCUCUGUCUCGUCACCAGUGAGGUGGGCUGCUAAAAUCCUUGCCUUUCUGUCAUUCGUCACACCUCCUCUAUCUGUAUCCAUCGUGGUUGCUGCUGUUAGACCUUUCUCGAGCAGCAACAUCGCUGGCACUGGUUCAUUUACGUCGUCGCCAUUUCGGUGGUCAUGGGGUACAUCGGUCUUCCCUUGGUUCUGUUUCCUGGUGCCAGAAAUAUCUCCCUGAUUCACGUUGGACGAGUAUAGUAACUCGUUGGAGAUGAGAGAAUUCCAAAUCCUCUGCUCUGCGAUCUCCGGCCUCCAUUUUUUUUCGUUCACCUUCACUUCUUUUCUGUUCAUGUUGGCGACCAGAUUAGGAGGGGUAUCUGCGUUCUACCUCCCUGUUCACAUGCCCAGAAUCUCCUUCUGUUUACUGUUGCCAUUGCUAAGUAUAUGCUGAUGCCGAUUGGGGCAGUACUACUGAGAAGAAACAAGUUGAGGAAGUGGAAGAUUGUUGUUAUGUUCUUUCACCUAAACCUCGUAGAUCAACCAGUGGGUAUUCUGUUUUUUUAGGUCCCAAUCCUGUUGCUUGGAUCUCAAGGAAAGAACAAGUAGUUUCUCGAUCUUUUACAGAAGCAAAGUACAGAAGCAUUGCUGAUUCAAUGACUGAAGUAUUAUGGCUUUUGUCGUUAUUCAAAGAAAUGCACAUCACUGUUGAGUUAACACCUGUCAUUUGGUGUGAUAAUUCUGGCACUGUUGCAUUGUCUGUCAAUCCUAUUUUACAUUCAAAAACCAAACAUGUAGAGUUGGAUGUUCAUUUUAUUAGAGAAAAAGUUGCUGCUAAUAUUGUACAAGUUGGUUAUGUUCCAGCAUCUUAUCAAGUUGCAGAUGUGCUCACUAAACCACUGUCUCAUGCCAUGCUCUUUUACUGUCGUGCCAAGUUGCUGGUUCUAUCGAAAGAAGAAGUCACAAGUUCUGAUUUGUUUACUGCCAACUCAAACUCUCCUUACUCAGACUACUGAUAUGUUGCUAUUUUUUUUUUUGUUUUUCAGUAGGGGGAAUGUUAGAGUAUAACUAAAGGUGGUUAAUCUAUUUAACUAUUGUUAUAUUAGUUGAGAUA